GGGGCUCUUCUGCGCCGCCCCGGUCACAGGCGCCGGGCGGAAGCGGGAAAGCUGGUGGUCCGCGAAGGGGCUCGUCUUGCGCAGCAUGCUGUGAGAGGGAGUCGAGGGGCGCUAAGGGCGCGAAGGGCAAGGUGGGGGAGAGCGGGCUAGAGUUAUGGUGGUUGGAGGGAGACAGCCACAGUCCUGCGGCGAGUUGGAGAGACUGGGUCGGGUGAAGGCCGAAGUUCUACCUCUCACCACUGGGUCCAGGGCCCUUGUAGCGGACGCAGCAGUGGACAGUUUUUGUUCUUAAGGGAAAGAAGAGCGAUGCCUAUAGAGUUCACGGGUGUAAAGGGAAGCUCUGGUCGCAGUCGUUGCAGGAAGGGCAAGUUGAUUGGGAAGGAAAUAGUAAAAUUUUCAUCCUAGUCCAAAAGUAGUCAAGAUGAAGAGCUGAGUUCAGAAGGUAUCUUGAGACUGUAGUCCACAAUUAUAGAAGGCUGCCCACCUUUAGACGUGACUUACUUUUCCUUACUUAGUUCAAAACAAAGUUUAUUGAUGACCUACUACCCAACAAGCACUGCAUAACCAGGCCGGGGUGAUGCUCAGUGACUAAUCAAUGCAGGCAACGCAUUCAUAGUACAGAUCUUUCCUUUUUGAGGCUUUUAUAAGGUCCAAAAUCAGCUCUUCCAAGAAAUAAAACAUUCGCGGCUUGCUAGCAAGGAAAGAGACUUACUACAAUUGAAUGAAGUAAGGUUAAGUAAAGACAAAGAAAAUUAAAACCUGUGAUUUAGAGAAGUGAUCAAAUGAUGCAGAGAGCAGUGCUGGGACAGUAGUCAAAUUGCUGAUUGAUAGCUAUUUAUUAAUGAAAAUGACAGCGUGGAGUACUGAACAGUUAUAAAUCCUUGCUCCUCAAAGCACUGAAAGUCUUAGAGAUAGAUGUAACCUGACCGAUAUUUUUGCCCCAACGCCUACCAGUGAUUUUCUGUUUCCACUCUAUAAAAGAGGACAGCUUUCUUCAUCUGGGAAAGAUAAAGAAUAAUUAGAGGAUUGAAGAGAGGAUUAAAGGGAGCAGAGGAUAGCAGAUGAAAUGGUCAAGCACUGCAUGUUUAUGAGAAGCGCAAAGAACUGUCAGCUGUUCAUCCUCAGGCUGUUUCUUUGAGGGACAGUGAAAGUAAGACUGUUCUUAUUUUGUAACAGUGAGGGGUUAGGUAUAGAGCACAAAAAAAAAAAAAACAGUUCAUCUACAUCCAUCAAGUGCUUUAUCUGGAAAAGGAAUCGUACACCUGAAGCAAGAUCACUCUUCUGAGGCUAGUUUGGCUAUAGUAUGAUUAUUAGCAAUAAUAAUAUUUAUUGAGUACUCUGUGCGUAUGAUAAGGAAAGGAAACUUUAAGGAAGGGAGAAGGUCCAGCUGCAAGGCUGUAUUAUAAAUCACCGUGUGAUCUGACUUCAUGUGUACUUAUUCAGCUCUGCAUUGGCCUUGAGAACAAUUUCCCUUACACUGUAAAUGUCCCUUAGACCUUUACACUGUCCAGUGUCUCUUACUGUCCAGUAAGAGAGCCACAUUUGACUACUUAAUUUGGUUAAAAUGAAAUAAAAAUUUUAAUUCCAUUUCUUUAUUGCACUGCCCACAUUUCAAGUGUUCAGUAGUCACAUGUUGCUACCGCAUAAGACAGCACAUAUACCGAACAUUUUCAUCAUUAAAGUUCUAUUGAACUUUGGUAGGCCUGGUAAAAAUUCAAGGGUGAAGAGAGUUGAUAAAUUAUGAAGAACAGCCCUUGUUAAAAGGUAGCAGUGGAAACUUAUUCCUGAAGACCAGAGGACAGAUGAAUUGUGACAGGGUGUUACAAAAUAGGUUUUUUUUAAGUUAAAAAAAAAAAAGUGAUAAGCCUCUCCCCAGUGUUGGUGUGUGUUUUUUCUUGGCUCUCAGUUGGUCCCAGUCUCUCCAUUUAUCUCUGUCCAGGUCUCUUUCCUUGUUCUUUUUGUUUUUCCACUUCUUUUCCUCACUUCAUUAUUGGCCAUACUGGAACUGAAGUGGAGUUUAAAAUAUUCACAUCAUUGGACUUAUUGAAUAAAGUUUUGUUUUAUCCACUUCUUAAAUUUUAAAUCAGCCAAGUUUCACUUUUUACUGUGACUUUUAAAAAUAAUCACUGAUAGCCAAAUUAAGUUCCUUUUAACCUCUUCUGUGACCCUUUGUUGUUUUUUUUUCCCCUGUGGGUCAAUGAAAGAAAAAAAAAGUACUGAAAGGAAAAAAAAUACUCCCUAGUUCUGAGAGUAGAGUCUCUGUAAAGUGACUAAACUAGGUCUUUCCACGUGGCCUGCUGACAUUUGUGUUGUAGUAUUAACGUUUAUGAGAACACGGUGUUUGUGCUUCUGUUUCUGUAUGAAUUUGAAUUUACCUAAGAUAUUUAUCCAGCAGGUCACUGUCAUUCAUCCCCUUCAUUCUGGUAAGUAGUACUAUGCCCCUCCUUUCCUCACCCCGCCACUCCCCUCCCCACAUGAAAAGCAUGUGGAAGAAUAGGUACUUUGUCUGCAAAUCUGAUACAAAUAUCAGGAAGUCUACCCAAGAUUGCUAAUUUUAAAGUGAGCUCAAAAGAAAGCAUGGCAAAAUUAGGGUUAGCCCAACUUUAUUUUUAUCCUGUGAAUCAGAACACAGUACAACACUAUCUCCUCAAAAGCUUGAAUAAAAUGUUUGCAGACAGGUCUCCCAAAUUAGAAGCAACAGUGGUUUCAGUGCUAUUUCUGGGCUCCAUCCAAUGCAAGUGCAGAAUUUUUAAAAAGCUAACAUUUAUUGGGCUCUUUUUAUUUGUCAGGCAUCUGAUACACAAUGUCUUAUUUAUUGAGAAUCUUUCUAAAUGGAACUCAAUCAGAUCCUACUUAUUGUUUACUCUCACCCAGAUGAUGGAAGUGGCCAAGGGCAUAGCCCUGCACAUGAGCACUGAAAUAUACUUGGAUGGAAUGUGAGUGUUAGCAGAAUCACCUGGGCCUCGGUAGUGUGUUUGUUGAUUCUGCCAGCCAGCCAGUACCCACGGGGCAUCAGUCCUCUCUGGAUUAGUAACAUAUGUAAAUACCCAAAAGGUAUUUAAUUCUGGGACCAUAACUUUGUUUUAUACUUACUGUUUUCAUAACUUUUCCCAUACAGCUUCCAGUUGUUUUUUUUAAAGGGUCAGCUACUAGUGACUGCUUGCAACACAUUUUAUUCCUACCAAGUGUCUGCACAUGGUGGGGCAGUGGUGGCUGACAGUCCAGUUUUGACACCAAUAGGAAGAUAGGGGACUUCUGUUCCCAACCUCGUUAGAAAAAUGCCAGGAAAUGACUGUUUAGCACACCUUGAGUUACACACCCUUGACCAAAUCACUGAAGGCAGGAGUCAGGUACACACCUCCUGACUAGUUGUUGUGACCAAGGAGUCAAGGCCACACAUGAUGACACCUCCCUUGCUAAUUACACGUCUAGAAGACUAGAGGCAGAAGCAGAACCCAAGGAGGAGGGGCAGAAAGGAAGAAUCCUAGCAGACAAAAUAAACAUUCCUAUAUAUACAAGUGAGAAUCUGAGUUAGGCGGGAGAACAUUUCAAUGUUAAACAGUGAAUCUUGCUCCGUUUCCACAUGUGAUAAAUUGAGAGGUGAACAUGUGUAUUCUGAAAGAGCUUCCUGGGAGUUUAUGGUAGGUGUCAUAACUGGAGAGAAUCCCCUCUCUGUAAUGGUGUGUUAUUUUUACAACAAAAUGUAUGUGUGUGUGUGUGUGUGUCUAACUAAGCACUGUAAGCCCAACGGCAAUAAUAAUAGGGAAAUAAAUAGAAGCAGUGAUCCACCAAAUCAAAACAUUAUUUAUUUAAAUAAAUAAAAUAAGCUAAUGUGAAAUUUCGAGAGCUUUCAGUCAACUGGAGUAGUUUUGCAUGUUAAACUGUCCUAGUGUGGAUAUUUUUGUUUUGCCCUCCAAACUUCAUUUAUCACCAAAUCUACAAACAUUUGAAUCAUAUAAAUAGAUAAUGAAAUAAAUACUUAUUCACAUGA